AACCAUUCUCACCUGCGGCUAGACCUGCGGAAGGAUCAUUACACAGUAGCAAACUGCUGUCAGCAAAAGCAACUGCCUUUGCUAGUCGUCUUGGGAUAACGGUGCCAUGUGCCAGACUCUGGCCGCCAUGGACUGCCCAUCGCCGCGAACCGUGUUUUAAUGCGUACUACUUGUUUCCUUGGUGGGCUUGCCCGCCAUCAGGACCCUAUGUAAACCCUUUUGUAAUUGCAAUCAGCGUCA
rnacentral:misc_RNA from 1 species